UUGUAAAACUUAAGAACAAAAGAACAAUAUAAAGAGGAAGACAAGAAGAAUAUAAGACAAGAGUAACAAUAUGAGAUAACUUUCUUUCUUUCAAGUGUUCACCAAAUCUUCAAGUGUCUACAAUAUGAACCCUUAUGCCUCUAUUUAUAGUGUAACAUAGAAGCAUACAAAAGGUUAGUCAUAAACAUGAAAUUAACAUGAAUAUAAU
rnacentral:lncRNA from 1 species